rfam:TPA: Bos taurus chromosome 20, whole genome shotgun sequence.
UUAAGAGAGACAUAGUGGUUAUGGCAUUGGCUUGAAACCAGUUAAAGAGGGUUCAAUUCCUUCCUUUUUUA